AUUCCAGCUCCAAUAGCGUAUAUUAAUGUUGUUGCAGUUAAAAAGCUCGUAGUUGGAUUUCUGCGUCGCGCAGGUCGGUCCGCCGCAUCGCGGUGCGACUGCACUGGAGCGUCGCAUCCUUGUGGAGACUGUUUCGGCCAUUAAUUUGGUUCGUUUCAGGAACCGCAUCGUUUACUGUGAAAAAAUUAGAGUGUUCAAAGCAGGCUUAUGCCGUGAAUACAUUAGCAUGGAAUAAUGAUUUAGGACUUCGGUUCUAUUUUAUUGGUUGCGGAACUGAAGUAAUGAUUGACAGGGAUAGUUGGGGGUGCUAGUAUUCAGCGGCCAGAGGUGAAAUUCUUGGAUUCGCUGAAGACUAACUUAUGCGAAAGCAUUCACCAAGGAUGUCUUCAUUA
rnacentral:rRNA from 1 species